rnacentral:rRNA from 1 species
AACGAACGCUGGCGGCAUGCCUAAUACAUGCAAGUCGAACGAGACCUUCGGGUCUAGUGGCGCACGGGUGCGUAACGCGUGGGAAUCUGCCCUUCGGUUCGGAAUAACUCAGGGAAACUUGAGCUAAUACCGGAUAAUGACGUAAGUCCAAAGAUUUAUCGCCGAAGGAUGAGCCCGCGUAGGAUUAGCUAGUUGGUGAGGUAAAGGCUCACCAAGGCUACGAUCCUUAGCUGGCUGAGAGGAUGAUCAGCCACACUGGGACUGAGACACGGCCCAGACUCCUACGGGAGGCAGCAGUAGGGAAUAUUGGACAAUGGGCGAAAGCCUGAUCCAGCAAUGCCGCGUGAGUGAUGAAGGCCUUAGGGUUGUAAGCUCUUUUACCCGGGAUGAUAAUGACAGUACCGGGAGAAUAAGCUCCGGCUAACUCCGUGCCAGCCGCCGC